CGUGCGGGGGCGCCCCAGGAUGCUGAGCUUCCUGCGCAGGACCUUUGGCCGGCGGUCGAUGCAGCGCUACGGGCGGGGAGCGGCUGGGCGCGGGGCCGGCGGGCUGGGAGACGAGCGGGACGGGGGUCCCCGGGGGGCCUCUUCGGCUCCCCUGCCCACCGCCCCCGGGGGCAGCGUGUUCCCCCCCGGCGGCGGGCCCGUGCUCACCGGCGGAGCCGCGGUCCACAUCCCUGCGGCCGGAGCGGGCAAGGCGGCUCUCUAUUGCCGGGUCUUCCUGCUUGAUGGGACCGAAGUGAGCGUGGACCUGCCGAAACAUGCCAAAGGUCAGGACUUGUUUGAUCAGAUUGUAUAUCAUUUGGACCUUGUGGAAACUGACUACUUUGGCCUCCAGUUCCUAGACUCUUCCCAGGUCACACACUGGCUGGACCAUUCAAAACCUAUUAAGAAGCAAAUGAAAAUUGGAUCUGCUUACAUUUUGCACUUUCGAAUUAAAUACUAUUCUUCAGAACCGAACAACCUUCGAGAAGAGUUUACAAGGUACCUGUUUGUAUUACAACUCAGGCAUGACAUUCUUUCAGGAAAAUUGAAAUGCCCAUAUGAGACUGCUGUGGAGCUAGCUGCCCUGUGUCUUCAAGCGGAACUUGGGGAGUGUGAACUUCCGGAGCACACGCCUGAACUAGUGUCUGAGUUCCGAUUUAUUCCAAAUCAGACUGAGGCAAUGGAGUUUGAUAUCUUCCAGAAAUGGAAAGAGUGCAGGGGGAAGAGUCCUGCACAGGCUGAACUUUCCUAUCUGAACAAAGCAAAAUGGUUAGAAAUGUAUGGAGUAGACAUGCAUGUAGUUAAGGGAAGAGAUGGCUGUGAAUAUGCUCUUGGUCUAACACCAACAGGGAUAUUAAUCUUUGAAGGAGCUAACAAAAUAGGUUUAUUCUUUUGGCCCAAAAUCACUAAAAUGGAUUUUAAGAAGAGCAAAUUAACCCUUGUUGUCGUAGAAGAUGAUGACCAGGGGCGAGAGCAAGAGCACACAUUUGUCUUCCGAUUAGAUAGUUCCCGGACCUGCAAGCACCUCUGGAAAUGUGCAGUUGAGCAUCACGCGUUCUUUAGAUUGAGGACACCAGCAAAUAAUAAAUCCAACAGAUCAGACUUCAUAAGGCUAGGAUCACGAUUUAGGUUCAGUGGGAGGACAGAGUAUCAAGCCACUCACGGGGCUCGGUUACGAAGAACCAGUACGUUUGAAAGAAGACCUAGUAAACGGUACCCAUCACGGAGACAUUCAACUUUUAAAGCAAACAAUCCAGUGAAAGCAGCUCAACUAUGCUCCAAAAAUAAUCCAGAAGUUCAUAAUUACCAGAUGCAAUACCAUCCUAAUAUACAUGCUGGACAACAACAGUGGCAUCCUCAUUCUCCAAAUGUAAGUUAUCCUUUGCCCUCACCAGUACUCAACAAUUCUAAUCUGCUGCUAUUCAACAUUGAAGAAAAUGGGGGAGCCCCAUUUACCACCAAAGCACCAGGAAGACAUCACCAUCAUCACCACCAUCAGCACCAGCACCAGCACCAGCACCAACACCAGCACCAGCACCAACACCACUCCAGUUAUGGAAUACCAGUUCCUCUUGAAAGCAAAGACAUGACUACUGGAAUCCCAACCCCUAGUAAACUGAGCCCAGGACCUCCCAUUCUUUACAAUGAAGCUGCUGCCCACCUAAAGAAGAUGGAAAUGGAAACCUCGAAGGUGGCUUCCCCAUGGCCUGCUCUUCACAUCAACAUAAACAAGGUAGAAGAAAAGAAAGUCGCUGAAAAAAGUCUUCAGUUCCCACUCCUGCCUUUGCCUGUUCCUGAUCAACUAAAAUGCAACAUCCUAAAAGCCCAGAUAGAAACAGCUUCCAAAGCAAGCACCCAGGCUGUGAAAGAGGAGCCAGAUUUUGCCACUGUCAAUAAGAAAUCCACUCUUCAGGACCCUAAUGUAAGAAGCCCUGUUCCUUCUAUAAAAGUAGAAGCUACUGAACCCGCUACAGAAAAGCAAGAGAAGCAAGAAAUCAAGCCCCCACGAGUGAGAAAAUUAACAAGACAAUACAGUUUUAACCACAGUGAUGAAGAUGACCUUCCUCCAGCCCUGGCUGCCGCCAUGGCGACAACAGCAUCAGGACCACCAGGAUCUCCAGCAUCCCAGAAAAUCAGCACACCUCAGAAGUCGGAAGGGCAAAACCACCUAUCCCCCUGUGCAAAGAGUCCCUCUGACACAGGAGAUGUGUUUACCUUGGGGCCAGGUGACCUUUUGAUGGAUUUCACAGAAGCUACACCAAUGGCAGAGUCCUCCAGUGCCAUAAAUCCUGCACACUCUCGUUGCUAUCCUCAAAUUUCUAUUCAAAUGAAAGAAGAGAAAAAUGAAGCAUGCAUGGGCCCUCCAAUCAAAACAAGGCUGAUAAAGACUUUCCCUGCUGAUACAUCUAAUCCAUUUUUGGAUCCUUUCACAACAGCACCACAGCUAAUUGCAGACUUUGGAGAAAGCAAAUUACAGUGUAAUGCUGGGCAGUCAUCCCCAUUGACUCCAAAAGCCACUAUGAGACCUUUGACAGAAACAGUCUCAACAGUGCAAACGUUAUUUGCCCGAAAGCCUAUUUCUCUGCCAGACAGUGCUGAGACGCUACGGCAGGAACUAGAGAGAGAAAAAAUGAUGAAAAGACUGUUGAUGACUGAACUAUGAGAUUCAUUCACCCUUUGUCCAGUGGAGAAUGGAGUGGUGCCUUCUGUCAGUCCACAUUCUUCAGCUUCUGUGUGCAUCCAGCAUAAUGCCCCAUGACAGUGUUGUACGUUGAACUCUGCUGAAUUCUCCACCAUUGGCUGAAAUUAAUCUUCGGUUUGGCUUGACUUUGAAAGAAUCUCUUUACUCCUGUGUUGCUGAGGAAUACAUAUUGCAUUCUUUUUUUUCUUCUUCUGAGAAUUUGGAUUUUCUACUGCAAAAUACAGCUGAGACUAGAUUUGUAACUUCUUAAUUUCAUGGAAUCACAGGAUCUCAGAGUUGGAAGAGAACUCAGAGAUCAUCUUGUACCAACCUGUAACUGAACAGGAAUUUCCUCUACAACCUCAUUGACAAGUGGUCAUCUAGACUCUGCUUGAAGAAUUCCAAUAAUGAGGAAUUCACUGCUCACAAAACAGCCCAUUCCACUUUUGGACAACUGUGGUUAGGAAGUUGUUCUUUAUAUCAAGCUGAACCAGUUUAAUGCUUCUUCCAUCUGACACAUCGGUUCUUCAGAUACUCUAACAACAGCUAUCCUGACCCCCUCAGAAGUCUUCUCUGCUCCAGCUUAAUUAUCCUGCGUUCCUUCAACUGAUUUUCAUGUAGCAUGAUUUCCAGUCCACUUGCUAUCAACAUAAUUGAAAACAAAGUGCUGAAAAGAACAAAACAAAACUGAAACUAGGCACCAUUGCAAAGAAGAAAUGCUUGUUUUAUUGAAUAAAAGGUUACACAACAUAAACUUUAUAUCAAAAGAAUCUUGGCCAGCUUUCUGGUCAACUUGUUCUAAAACAUUCAAUGGCCACCACUGCUUGACCAGGCUAGUCCCUGCAUUCCCUGUUCCCAUGAUGACAUAGCAUGUCUUAUAUGUCAUUUUGGUACCUCUCUUACUUCAUCGCUGAGACUUUUUAAAAAAUUACAUUUUUGUCUUAAGAAAUCAAAACAAAUGAACACUGCCAGUUCAAAACUGUUCUCAACAAUAUUAUCAAACAAAGUAUGACCACACUUGAUGAAAAUAGCCAUCAUCAAAGUGGCAACAUUGAUUUGAUAUCUAAGAGUCUGUAGUAUAAAGUUAUUUUUUAGAACCAGCUUUGGGAUUUCUAGUCAAGAUUGUAAAGUGAAAGGUUCCUUGUAUGCCCCACCCUCCCCCCCCCACUCCCCAAAAAAAACCCCAAACAAAUCUGGAAGAGAAGACAAAUGACUUUAAAAUAACACAAGAAAAUAAAAAAUCAACCAAAACCCAAAAUGAACUAAGUACAGUGCCAAAAUAAUAAAAAUUAUAUUUGCUGAAGAAAUACUCCCAAUGGAAAAAAAGCAUACAAUAGUGAGAAAUAGGUCUCAAAUGGAGAAAUGACAUAUUCAAAGAAAUUAAGGAACAAUUAGCACACUGGUAAGAAUACCACAAAGCCAAAUCAAAGAAUUAUAGAAAGUACAAUCACAUACACAAGCUAGAAUUAAAAUAUGCUAAAAAAUGUAAAAAGUUAGGGAAUAAUGAAAAAAUGACCAAUAUGGAGACUUGUGAUUUCAUCAAUUUGCUCCCAAUGGUACAAAAAACAAGAAACCCAUGCCUUCUUUUUCUGUGCAAUUCUUGUUCAUGUUCUCCCAUAAACCCUCCACAGAGAAUCCAUCCAAUAUGCUAAAGAUGUGUAGGGUUUAUUAUAUUUGAUAGAUAUCAGUGCAGCAUCAAGUCUGUCCAUUCAUCCAUCCCUGCCCCUUGCCAGAUGCAUGUGGUAGAUCAGUGGGAAUAGGAUGCAACCUACCGUACCCACUAUCCAUCCCUCCAUAGUCUUUUGGGUUACAUGUAACUAUGAUUCCUUAGAGGCUGUUGUGUUCCAAGAGUCACAAUGGCAUAACAUCACUGGGGGAACAUUUGUGUUAAGAAGAUGGGGUUUUGUGUUUGGAAGCAACUUGAGGUCAUGAAAAAUAUUGCAAAAUUUCCCAAGUUUAAUCCAACCCACUCUCUUUUCCCAACCGUGUAGGCCCGACUCAUUGUCUAUCCAUAGUGCCUAUUUCAGAUAUAUGUACUAAUGGACUGGUUCAAUGGACUGGCCAUCUAACUGCGUGUCUUUAUGGGUUUUUAUGCUUCUUUAUUUUGAGUGAUUGUUGAUCUAAUCAAGAAGGUACUGUAAUGUUCUUGGGGUUGAUGAAACCACUAAGAUAAUUCUCUUCUAUGACUUUUUGCUUGUUAAUAUGAAGUGAGGCAUAAAACAGGAAGAAUAGUAAAGGUGUUCACAAUUAUAAUGGAGGAUAUCCUGAGCACAGAAGAGAUUCCUACAGUGGGAAAGUUCCUUUAGGCGCUGCUAUUUGUGGAUGAUAUUGUGCUGAAUAUGAUGGAUGAUUUCAAGAAAUUUAUAGAAAACAAUCAAGAAAAGACUUUACUACAAUGGAAAAUAAAAUUUCAUGCAGUAAAGAGCAAUUGAAAAUACAGAUUCUAAAUGAACUGAAUCAUCCAAAUUAUUGGGAAAAUAAGAUGCAAAUUUAAAUGGUAGACCUGGAAGAUCUAGCACAACACAGCAAUCUUAGGGGCACUGAUAUCUAAGAAUUUUUUUUAAAAUUGGAAUACCAUAUUCUAGCAAAUCAUAGAAUUCAUAGACUUAUAGCUGGCAUGCACUUCAACUAUUUUCUAGCUAAACUUUCCCAAUUUAUAAAUGAGAGAACUGAGGCCCAGAGCUUGAGGCUAAGUUGCUUGUCAAAGGUCACACAGGUAGUAAUCAACAGAGCAAGUUUUAAAACACAAGUUCUCUGACUUUAAAAUCUUUCUGUACUGCCUGAUCAAAGAAUAAUUCCCAUAAUUGUCAAACAAAUGGCAGAAUACAAAUUUCAAGAAUUCAUAGAACUCCAACUUGGAAGAACUCAAUAUUUAACAUGCCUAGACACAUCAUGGUCAAUAGUAAAAUUACAGGGGAGGGAAGAGGGAAAAGGGAAUUCCAAGCUUAGAGAGAAAGUGCGCAAACCUCUUACCAAAGAACAGUAAUUAAGAGCAGAGCAGAAUUUUCAAGGAUGAUAAGAAAUGAUUAGAAAAUUUGACUAUGACACAUGACAAAAGUAAGGAAGAUGGGCUAUAACUGAGAAUUAUAUCCCCAGUAAAACUGAAAAUGCUCUGUGAAGGCCAGAGAUGAGUAUCUGAAAAAACAAGACACUUUUGAAAAUCUACAGAGUAAGAAAGCCUUCAAAGAAUAGAUAAGCCUAGAAACUGAAACAAUAAGUACUUAAAAGAAGUCACACUUUUCAAAUCAAGAUCAAUCAGUUGCUAAUCAAAUGCAAGAACCCUCAAAGUAUCACAUUGGCUAAAUUCCUAAAUGUUGACAGAUUCAGGAAAACUGAAAAAAAAAAAAGGAGUAACCUAGAGGGGGAACAAGGAAGAAGACAGGGUAAUCCCAGAGUGAACUAUCACUGAUAAAAUGGAAGUCCAAGUUAAAGAAAUCUACAAUAUUAUUAAGAUGAACAAAAACUUUCAUUCUGAGUACAGUUGUUAAAUUUUGAGAUAACAGAUAAAAUAUAAAUAAGAAAGUGUAUAUUCUCUUCCAAUAGAAUUACUGAAAAAGAGAAAACCUGACAAUUAUAUUCUAACACUUAAUAUAAAUGGAUAAAAUCCUUCAAUAAGAAAAGAGGAAGUCCUUGAAUAGGUAAAAAAAAAAAUCCAUGUGGAAACAUUUAAUCCAGAAAUACUUAGAUGAUUCAAAAUGAAAAAACAAAAUGGCCCCAAAUUUACCAUUUAUCACAAAAUCAGACAGGGUUGGAUCUGAAUCAGAAAGCAUUAAAGAAGAUAAACAAGGAUAUUGUAUUAUGCUAAAAGGUCUUUUUAAAAAAGAGAGUAUUUACGUUUGACAUAUGUGUGCACCUAAUCAUUCUGCAGUAAAACUGAUAAAGGAAAAUCUUACAGUCUUACAAGAAGAAUGAAAUCUCUCAAUAAUAGUGGGAAAUGGUUAAUGCCCUUCCCACUGGAACAUUUUAAUGCAUUGUAGACAGGCCUCUAGACAUUUUGGAAUUGCAAUAUGAAAAUAUGCAAUGAAUCACAAGCAUUUUCAACCUAUUAUGUUUCUAGGAUUUUGUCCUGAAAGUAUCAUAAAAGGGGAAAAAGACAAUAUGUAUAAAAAUAUUCCUAGCUGCCCUAUUGGCAAUGACAGUGAAUUGGAAACAAUUAAAAUGUGUAGUGAUUGGGAAAUGAUUGAAUUUAUUUCGGGGUAUUGACAUAAUGGAAUAGCAUGGUGCCAUUAAAAACCGAAUGUGAGACGUAUGGAAAAAUAUCAAAUAGUGGGAGGUGCUCAGCAAAGCCAGAACUAUAGGCCAAUGGACAACUUAAUUAGAAAGAAAGAUCACAAAGUCAAUAGUAGUGUAAUUUCAGAUGGACUUGAAAAGGGGACAUAGAGCACAAGUAUUUUUGUUUGCUUCUUGUUUGUUGAUUUCCUUGUAUCUCUGUUGUUAAAAUGCUAAGGGUUUUAUGUAAGGUUUUACUUCUUGUUUGUAUGUUUAUUUGAUUAUUUGUUUUUUGUUAAUGGUUAUUAAAUUUUUAAUUAAAAAAAGAACCCACUUUGAAGAGGAAAAAAAGAAACUGUAUUUUCAGAAACUGGAAGAUUAAAAAUAUGAGUCACUAA